UUUAAGUGCAACCAUAAGUUUCCGUGCCCAACUUUGAUCGUCCAUCUUAUUUAAAAUUUUUUUAUAAUUAGUAUUUUCGUUGUUAUGAGAUGAUAAAACAUGAAUAGUACUUUACUCAUAACUUAUGUUUUAAAUUUUUUUUCAAUUUUUUUCAAAUAAGACGGACGAUUAGAGUUGGAUGAAAAAACCAUGGUUGCACUUAAA
rfam:Oryza sativa Japonica Group DNA, chromosome 1, cultivar: Nipponbare, complete sequence.